rnacentral:rRNA from 1 species
AUGUUGUUCCCAGCCCUGUUCGAAGAAUCGAUCGACGCGGACAUGGAGCUCUUGGAAGAGCCAUACCCCAUCUCUGAGCUGGAAGAGAAGGUGCCGCUACCGCCAGAAGAAUGGAGCGGUUCAUUCCCCAUGGUAGCCGCAACGGCGGCAAAUCUUGGAUCGGCCUGCAUCGCGUUCUUGGGGUUCUCGCCUAUCGGCGGGAAAUUCUCCCAGUCCCACAGCACCGAGCUCCUCUGGUUCCACUCCAUCCCGAACGAGCCCAUGCCAGAGCCCGAGAUCUCCGGUGCCGCUGCUCCUACUCGCACGUCAAAGCUGCUGCCACUGAAGCAACAGAAUGGAACACAAAGAGGUGAGGAGCAGAAUUAG